CCUGGUUGUAGCCGAGCCAAAUUGUGUUUAGUGUAUCAAUUGGUCCCCUUCAACCAGCUA
rnacentral:pre_miRNA from 1 species